UUCCACUUGCCAUCACAUUCUGAGAUACCUUUUUCCAUAUGGUCAAAAAGGUACCUAAGUAUAUGAUUGCAAGUGGAAAAUAGGGGACAGAAAUCAGGUAUGGCAGUUUUUCCAUUUUCACUUGUAUGUGAAUUUUUUAAAUACAUAUGCAGGGACAUAAAUCAUUAAUGCAAGUCAAGGUGUUUCAGUGAACAAGUUUCAAGCAGUUCAACUUUAUAACAAUAUA